ACAGCAGUAGGGAAUCUUCCGCAAUGGACGAAAGUCUGACGGAGCAACGCCGCGUGAGUGAUGAAGGUUUUCGGAUCGUAAAGCUCUGUUGUUAGGGAAGAACAAGUGCGAGAGUAACUGCUCGCACCUUGACGGUACCUAACCAGAAAGCCACGGCUAACUACGUGCCAGCAGCCGCGGUAAUACGUAGGUGGCAAGCGUUGUCCGGAAUUAUUGGGCGUAAAGGGCUCGCAGGCGGUUUCUUAAGUCUGAUGUGAAAGCCCCCGGCUCAACCGGGGAGGGUCAUUGGAAACUGGGAAACUUGAGUGCAGAAGAGGAGAGUGGAAUUCCACGUGUAGCGGUGAAAUGCGUAGAGAUGUGGAGGAACACCAGUGGCGAAGGCGACUCUCUGGUCUGUAACUGACGCUGAGGAGCGAAAGCGUGGGGAGCGAACAGGAUUAGAUA
rnacentral:rRNA from 1 species